UGUAAAGCACUUUCAGUCGUGAGGAAGGUGGUAGUGUUAAUAGCACUAUCAUUUGACGUUAGCGACAGAAGAAGCACCGGCUAACUCCGUGCCAGCAGCCGCGGUAAUACGGAGGGUGCGAGCGUUAAUCGGAAUUACUGGGCGUAAAGCGCAUGCAGGUGGUUUGUUAAGUCAGAUGUGAAAGCCCGGGGCUCAACCUCGGAAUUGCAUUUGAAACUGGCAGACUAGAGUACUGUAGAGGGGGGUAGAAUUUCAGGUGUAGCGGUGAAAUGCGUAGAGAUCUGAAGGAAUACCGGUGGCGAAGGCGGCCCCCUGGACAGAUACUGACACUCAGAUGCGAAAGCGUGGGGAGCAAACAGGAUUAGAUACCCUGGUAGUCCACGCCGUAAACGAUGUCUACUUGGAGGUUGUGGCCUUGAGCCGUGGCUUUCGGAGCUAACGCGUUAAGUAGACCGCCUGGGGAGUACGGUCGCAAGAUUAAAACUCAAAUG
rnacentral:rRNA from 1 species